UGUUGAGUGUGGGUUCACAGUGGCAAAGGCCAGCCACGUACUGGGCAGUGUUAGUGAAAAAGUGCAGCCAGCAGCCAGAAAGUAGUGGUUCUUCCCCUCUGUCAGCAGCUGUGAGACCACAUCUAAAGUUCUGUGUUUGGGUUUCAGCAAUACAUGAAAGAAAUUAUAGACUACCACAAGUCCAGGUGAUGAUCACCAGAAUGAUUAAGGGCCUAGAGCAUAUUGCUUCAUGAGGGAAAACUAGAGUGCUUCAACCUUAGAUAAGAGACAUAGGGAAGGUCAUAUUGAUUUCUCCAAGUAUGUAGUAUAUGUAUUGGGAGGAAACUGAUAAAGCAGAAAUUCCAAUUAGUUUUGAGGGGGUGUAUUUGUGGUUCUUUAUUGUUAUUAUUUUUGGGCCUUGUUUGUUUUGAACCAUGAGUCUGGUGAACAAGUGCUCAGAGAGAAUGUGAAACCUCUUGUCCUCAGAGACGUUCAAAACUCCACUUGACUGUAGAAGUAGACUCCUUAAAAUUGUUUGGACUGCUUAUUUUAUCUUUUAGAACAUAAGGAGGCAGAGUAAAGUGGUUGUUUAAUUUCAUGAAUGUGUUUCUGUGUCUUCAGGUAGAAGUUUACAGUGAGCUUAUUCUUGGAAAAACAGCACAUUUAAACCCAGUAAAAUCGGUGUAAGCAAAGUUGAUAAUUUUUUUCCUUCAGUGAAAGACUGCUCUAAUAGAGGAAAUGGGGUACUACUCACCCUUCUGCAAAAGUGUAGCUGAAAAACCUUAUCAAAUUUGGGGCUUUGUAUGAUUUUUAGGAAUAGUUUGGAUAGUUAUUGAAUGUUGAAAAAUUAUAUAAUUAUUUUUAAAUGAUCAAUCUGUACUUCUGGAAACUCAGCUAAUUUAUUCUGUAAAGCUAUAUUACAGAUCAACUAUGUCUCUACUGGAUUAAUUUUUAUUAUUAACUUUUCUUUGUAGGAAGGUAAUUUGAAUUUUUAAUUCUAGAGCUCCCACCUUGAAUUUAUUACACAAUUUCCUUCUUGUAAUAUAUUUUACUUUUCAAGUAAAUUAUCUUUUGGUCUUUUUUUGAUUCUGAAAGAAAUAAUUUUGGACUGAAGAGGGAAAUACACCUGAAAAGUACCCUUAAAACAAAACUUAAUCUUUUCCAUAGCAUUUCAGAAAAACUUACUAGGGAUGGGGGAUACAGGAAAGAAUAAAAUAUAGCAGGUUUUGUUUUUUGGGAGAUUGGUGUCUUGUUAUGAGACCACACAAGGAUUUAGACAUCCUAUUUUGGUUAGUUUUUUAAAACUUCAUUUCCUAAAAUCAUAUAAUAUGGGGAAUUUUUCCUUAAUGGCUACCCUAAACCCACUGUAUUUCAGUUUGAAGCCAUUCCCCAUGUCUUAUCACUACAUGCUCUUGUUCAAUGUCUCUUUUCAGUGCUGUUGUAGCUUCCUUUAGUUACUGGAAGGUCUUAUAAGGUUUUCCUGGAGCCUUCUCUUUUCCAGACUUAACAACCCCAGUGCCCUCAGUUUACUUUCAUAGGAGAGGUGCCCCAGCCCUCUGAUCAUCUUUGUGACAUUCCUCUGGACUCGCUGCAGCAGGUCCAUGUCCUUAUGUUGGGGACCCCAGCGCUGGACCAGCAUUCCAGCCAAGGGUACAAUUGGCAACUGCACAUUGCUGGCUCGUGUCUGAUUUCACUUAUUUUGACCACCAGAAUUGUCAAGGCCUUCUCGACAUUGCUUCUCUCAAACCACUCACCCCCAGCCUUCUGGUACAGGGAAUUGCCUGGAUCCAUGUGCAUGAAGUUGAGCCACUGAUUCAAACUCUGGACAUGGUCAUCAAGCCAAUUCCUUGUCCAUUGAAUAAUUCAUCCAGAAAACCUGUGUCUCUCUAAUGAGUGACAAAGAUGUGUAUGACUGUGUCCUAGGCCUUACAGAAAUCAAGGCUGGUGACAUAGACACACGACACAAAGUACAUGAAUGCAAUGCUCAUGCAUAACAAACAAAACCAUUUUAAUUAAUACUUCUAUGUGUCAGUGUCACAGUCUUGAAAGUACCACACAGUGAAAGUAGUUGAGCUGUUCUGUGCAGUGUGUAGUAAGGAAAUGAAAACAGCUGUUAGAAAAGUGUAAUGGUGAUGUUAAAACAAACUUAGGAUGCUUUUGUUCAGUGAUGGCAGAAUGCCUGUUUACAACCUUCAAAAACAUGGUUUUUGAAAAAAAAGAAACAAAGUAGGUUUUUUCAACUAACUUCGUUAGUUGUCAGGUUAUGAAAUUGUUGAAUUUUAAUAAAAUUCAAUGAUGCCAGGAUGUAACAGAAUAUACAGAUUGUGCCAGGUUGUGCCAUGCUGUAAGUAAGCAGGAGCAUGAUGAUCCAUCCCUGUAUUCUGAACAAUGUAAUAUACAACGGUGAUGGUGUUUGUGAAAUCAGCGGGAAUGGAUGACUUUUAACUAAGAAUUUUUAAGGAGGUAACUUAAAUCCUUAAAUACACAGAUGUUGGUUGUGUUUUGGCUUUGUAUUUUUCUUACCUCACUAAGUGUCACAAUUAUGGGGAAAAUUGCUAAAUGAAGAGUGAUGGUGCUAUGACAAUGCAAGUGGGAUAUCCUGACUAUGUCUGUUGUCCAGUCCAAUCUCUUAUCUUAGAAAAGUAUUUAUAUUAUCAGUGUUAGUUAUGAAGUUGAAAUGUAUUAAAACAGACAAAGAGUUUAAAGUAGACUAUAAGUUAUAACUAACUUGAAUGAGAAAGUUGAAUGAAGUUGCCUUAAAUGUUUUGACAAAGCUGCUUUUUACUAUAAAACUGGUCUCACACUACAUUUUUCAAACCUUAUAAAUGAUGCUUUGAUUUCUUUUGCAAAUUGUUCCUCGUAUGAGACUUUGCCGAAGUUUUUUUAUGAUUUGGUUUGGGAAAAGCAACUUGGGCAAAACAGUAAAGUUUUGAUUCUUUUGCAAGACAGAUGGAUAUCUAUAUUUUAGUUUUCUAGUAAAUUGUCAUGGUUGCAGCACCUACAACCUACAUUUUUAGGGGAUAUUUUGUUGUGGGGUUUGUUUUGUUUUGUUGUUUUGUGGUUUUUGUUGUUGUUGCUUUUUGGGUUUUUUUGUUGCCCAUUUGGUUGGUCAUGGUUUUUCUUCCCCCACCUCUAGCCUCUUUCAGGGAGGGAUGAAAGAAGCCUAAAGAGACUCUUUGAUGUGAAGACCUAUUUAAAAUAUUUUUCAGUGUUAGGAUACCAGAACUGUCUGCUCACAGAUUUGGAAAAAAUGAUGGCAUUCCUUAGGUGAUGUGAUUCAAGUGUCCAGAGAAGUAAAAGCUUUUGGGGUGGGGUCACCCGAAGAAGCUCAACUGCUCAAAAAUUGUCUGCUCACUAGUGCAGUUAUAAGGAAAGACAUGCUAGGUCUCUCUAAACCCUCCUUUUAAAAAAUGUUUAUAAUUCUCUGGUGGCAGUUUUGUUGCCAAUCUUUCACAGGAAGUGCUUGGAAGGAGACCUUGUUUAAACUGGCAGAGAGAACAUGAGAAGAAAUGCCAUUUUUUCUUUGCUGAUACUCUGCAGGUUUAAUGAAACUCUUUGCUGCUGAUUUAAACCCUUCAGUUCACUUCCUGCCCUUCCCUGUCUCCCCGUUUCAUUUGAAGUGCUCCAUAUGCUUCCUUACUUGCUUUUUUCCACCAUGGCUAGGACAGGUUUUUCAAAUUUUUUUUCUGUGGUUAAAACAGCUGUAAUGGUGUUGCUUUGCUUCAGCAAAGCCUGCUCUAUUUGCUGAACUCAUGUGUAGUUUAGUACAGCUUCCUGUUUUUCUCAUCCUAUUUAAUUAGGCAACAAGUUGCAGCAAAGCAGCUUCCUUUAGAAUGAAUCAGUGAACGCUGUGCAUAUUGUAAAUAUGAAAGCAAUUCAUGUCUCUUUGAAACUUACAAAAUCAUGGGUAUUUUUCCAUAGCUUUAAUGUUUGUGUGGAAGGCCAAACCUGGUUGCAUAGAAAGCAUUUUUCUCCCUUUCUGUGUAUUCCUUUUCAAUUUGAUUUGAUUUACUUUUUGUUCUCUGUUGCUGCCUUUUGAUGGUAACAAUAAAGAACUAUCCU